AGUGAACGCUGGCGGUAGGCCUAACACAUGCAAGUCGAACGGCAGCACAGUAAGAGCUUGCUCUUACGGGUGGCGAGUGGCGGACGGGUGAGGAAUACAUCGGAAUCUACUUUUUCGUGGGGGAUAACGUAGGGAAACUUACGCUAAUACCGCAUACGACCUACGGGUGAAAGCAGGGGAUCUUCGGACCUUGCGCGAUUGAAUGAGCCGAUGUCGGAUUAGCUAGUUGGCGGGGUAAAGGCCCACCAAGGCGACGAUCCGUAGCUGGUCUGAGAGGAUGAUCAGCCAAACUGGAACUGAGACACGGUCCAGACUCCUACGGGAGGCAGCAGUGGGGAAUAUUGGACAAAGGGCGCAAGCCUGAUCCAGCCAUACCGCGUGGGUGAAGAAGGCCUUCGGGUUGUAAAGCCCUUUUGUUGGGAAAGAAAAGCAGCAGGUUAAUACCCCGCUGUUCUGACGGUACCCAAAGAAUAGGCACCGGCUAACUUCGUG
rnacentral:rRNA from 1 species